CGUAGGUGGCAAGCGUUGUCCGGAUUUAUUGGGUUUAAAGGGUGCGUAGGCGGUCUUGUAAGUCAGUGGUGAGAUACGGCAGCUUAACUGUCGAGGUGCCAUUGAUACUGCAGGACUUGAGUACAGACGAGGUAGGCGGAAUUGACGGUGUAGCGGUGAAAUGCUUAGAUAUCGUCAAGAACACCGAUAGCGAAGGCAGCUUACUAGACUGUAACUGACGCUGAUGCACGAAAGUGUGGGGAUCAAACAGGAUUAGAUACCCUGGUAGUCCACACUGUAAACGAUGAUUACUCGAUGUUGGCGAUACACAGCCAGCGUCUUAGCGAAAGCGAUAAGUAAUCCACCUGGGGAGUACGCCGGCAACGGUG
rnacentral:rRNA from 1 species